rnacentral:rRNA from 1 species
AUUGAACGCUGGCGGCAGGCCUAACACUUGCAAGUCGAACGAGUGGCGGACGGGUGAGUAAUGUCUGGGAAACUGCCUGAUGGAGGGGGAUAACUACUGGCAACGGUCGCUAAUACCGCAUACCAUCAGAUGUGCCCAGAUGGGUGUAGCUUGUUGGUGGGGUAACGGCUCACCAAGGAGAAGAUCCAUAGCUGGUCUGAGAGGAUGACCAGCCACACUGUAACUGGGACACGGUCCAGACUCCUACGGGAGGCAGCAUGGGUGAAUAUUGCACAAUGGGCGCAAGCCUGAUGCAGCCAUGCCGCGUGUAUGAAGAAGGCCUUCGGGUUGUAAAGUACUUUCAGCGGGGAGGCGUUACCCGCAGAAGAAGCACCGGCUAACUCCGUGCCAGCAGCCGCGUAAUUC